rnacentral:rRNA from 1 species
UACGUAGGGUGCGAGCGUUGUCCGGAAUUAUUGGGCGUAAAGGGCUCGUAGGCGGUUUGUCGCGUCGGGAGUGAAAACCCAGGGCUUAACCCUGGGCUGGCUUUCGAUACGGGCAGACUAGAGGUAUGCAGGGGAGAACGGAAUUCCUGGUGUAGCGGUGAAAUGCGCAGAUAUCAGGAGGAACACCGGUGGCGAAGGCGGUUCUCUGGGCAUUACCUGACGCUGAGGAGCGAAAGCGUGGGGAGCGAACAGG